rnacentral:tRNA from 1 species
GGUGAGAUAGCUGAAUUUAUAGGCGAUAGGCUAUAAAUCUAUUUAUGGGAUCAUUCUCUCUCAUCA